UACAGAGGGGGCAAGCGUUGUUCGGAAUUACUGGGCGUAAAGGGCGCGUAGGCGGUCCGCUAAGUUAGAUGUGAAAACUCUGGGCUCAACCCAGAGCCUGCAUCUAAUACUGACGGGCUAGAGUUCUGGAGGGGGUAGCGGAAUUCCUGGUGUAGCGGUGAAAUGCGUAGAUAUCAGGAGGAACACCGGUGGCGAAGGCGGCUACCUGGACAGAAACUGACGCUGAGGCGCGAAAGCUAGGGGAGCAAACAGG
rnacentral:rRNA from 1 species